rnacentral:rRNA from 1 species
AGCAGCCGCGGUAAUUCCAGCUCCAAUAGCGUAUAUUAAAGUUGCUGCAGUUAAAAAGCUCGUAGUUGAAUUUCGGGACCAAUAUGUCGGUCGUGCCUCGGUACGUACUGGCAUCGUUGGUUUCUCCCUUCUGAAGAACCAUGAUGUCAUUUAUUUGGUGUCGUGGGGAAUCAGGACUGUUACUUUGAAGAAAUUAGAGUGUUUAAAGCAGGCUAACGCUUGAAUACAUUAGCAUGGAAUAAUGAAAUAGGACGUUCGAUCUUAUUUUGUUGGUUUCUAAGAUUGACGUAAUGAUUAAUAGGGAUAGUUGGGGGCAUUAGUAUUCAAUUGUCAGAGGUGAAAUUCUUGGA